rnacentral:tRNA from 1 species
UUCCUGAUGGUCCAGUGGCUAAGACUUCAGGUUCCCAAUGCUGGGGACCUGGGUUCAAUCCCUGGUCAGGAGA